AAAUCUUAUUUUUAAAUAUGAGUCAGUUUCAAUUAGUUUGUUGUAUACCUGUGUACACAUGAUGUUCCAUUAAUAUUUUUUUAAUUGCACGCUAUGGUGACCAGUCAUUUGUAAAUCCUUUGUUUCAGUACAUAAAAAUCACUGUAUGCCAUUUUAUUCUACCAGUUUGCCAUCCUAUCUGCAGUGCUGCUUUCUGGAAAGUGAUAACAAU